rnacentral:lncRNA from 1 species
ACUGAUUCAACGGGGAUCAAGAGCGUAUCUCUACGCAGGCUGAGAAACAACGAACACAUGUUCAUCAAAUAUAGCAUAAUAUUGGAGCCGAGAACGGCGUCUGUACCUGCCAAAUGGCGUAGAUAGCGCGCUCAAUCAAGCGCAAACCUUGAGCUAUAAAGGACGCUCAGAGCCAUCACACACCCUACUGAGUAGACAAACUUUCAGUAUAUGUUUGUGGGUUCAUGAGUGAAUGAAUGAACUUCUACUAAGGGCAAGUCAGAUAGGUCUAGACUUGUAAUAUCGCGGUAUAUCUUGGUCCCAGCUCUCGGGUUUUCCUCUGAAAACCUAAUUAUAAUAAGGGGUGUUAAAACCUUGUGGGGAUUUAAAUAUCGCGAGCACACGAACUCCGGUCAAAGGGGCUCUCAGCAGUACGCUGUUAGUAGUAUACAACCUAGUUUCUCACUUUCGAUAUGACAGCCAACAAAGUUCUAUGAUCGCGUCCUUCUUCGCCGAGCUUACCCCAUGGGGAGAGCAAUGGCCGCCUGCUUCGGGUUUUACGGCCACCCGACACUCGCACACGUGUUCGAGAGUAUCAAAUAACUGGAAAUGAGAAUCCAAAAACUCACUGUAACCAUAUGGAGAUAUUGGGUCUUACUGUCAAGAACAGUGGCAGCAGUUUUCGUUGCCAAGCGACAAGGCUGCCAGUGGAGGCGUCUACUACGGCGGUGGUACCGUUUAGCUGCCAAAAACGCCGACACCGCCGCCUCCAAGCACCUCAGAGUCUGCAACCCUCCAGUCCCGUCCUAGUCCGCGCACAUCUGGCCCUGCCCUGCGGCCCCGCCCAUACUCUUAUAUCCUCAUUGGUGAUCAUUCAGCCAAGAAAUCAUUUCACAGCAUGCGCAGGCAUUCUUCCUGCCAAGCAUAGCUGUCUUGGUCGGAAGUGUUUGUCCGGGACUCCUGCCACGCCUUCUGCCCAUCUCUCAGGCGUGCAGCCGCCUUUGCGGCUGCAAGAGAUGUCUGCCCUUCUGACGGUUUAUGCGUUGCCUUCAAAAUGCACGGCAAGUUGGAGAUCAGUGGCAGGCGAUCCAAAAGCCUCAUUGCGUCUUGAACAGCCCUAAUGAAACUGCUUGGCAGCUGGGGUGCAGGUGCCAGCCAAAUGCUGCGCAGGAUGCAGCCGCAUGCGCGGCAUGCACUCUUGGUUGUGACAUACGAUGAUAAAAGGAGUUGGUGCCUGUGCUGCGUAGGGAGGGUUGCCAUAAUGCACAUGUGAUUCACGGCAAGUCUGACUGCCGAUGACGGCUGCACCUCUUGACCAUUUGAAAGGGCCACAGCAGAACAGCAAGAGGCAGGCGCAUACCCCUGGCAGAAUUAACCGGACACCAGCCCUGCAUCCAGAGGGAAUUGGCUUGAACGGGAGAAGAGGGCAUUCACCUGUGUAUUCGAAGGUAGAAUGCAGACAUGAAGGUCAGAGCGAGCUCCAAUAUAGGAACGACUGCCGUCCCGGUGAGACCAAUUGCAUAGUCAAUGCAAACACCCCCGGCCGAGAGGAUGUUUGCAUUGACCAUAUAAAUUUGCGAGUUGUGAUUCUCAGAGUUUGAUGAAGUAUUUUCCCUUGAUUUGAGACGUGGGCGAUCUAUUUGAUGGGCCGGAGCAUAGAUUCUCUUACGUACAACAUACUAGCUCGAAUGUCCUCGCUUUGGAUGUUGGAAAGGUGACGUGAUCAGCUUCAACGAAUUUGGAAACUG